rnacentral:rRNA from 1 species
UACGGGGGGGAGCAGUCGUUGUCGGAAUUACUGGGCGUAAAGGGCUCGUAGGUGGUUUGUCGCGUUGUUCGUGAAAACUCACAGCUCAACUGUGGGCGUGCGGGCGAUACGGGCAGACUUGAGUACUGCAGGGGAGACUGGAAUUCCUGGUGUAGCGGUGGAAUGCGCAGAUAUCAGGAGGAACACCGGUGGCGAAGGCGGGUCUCUGGGCAGUAACUGACGCUGAGGAGCGAAAGCGUGGGGAGCGAACAGG